rnacentral:rRNA from 1 species
AACGAACGCUGGCGGCAUGCCUAACACAUGCAAGUCGAACGAGACCUUCGGGUCUUGCUGCGCACGGCGGCGUAACGCGUGGGAACCUGCCCUUAGGUUCGGAAUAACUCCCCGAAAGGUGUGCUAAGACCGGUGAAUCUCUUCCGACCAAUGAUUUAUGGCUUUUGGCUGGGCCCGCGUUGGUUUGGGUGGUUGGUAGGGUAAAAGCCUCACAAGGCGACGAUCCAUAGCUGGUCUGAGAGGAUGAUCAGCGACACUGGGACUGAGACACGGCCCGGACUCCUGCGGGAGGCAGGAGUGUGGAAUAUUGGGCACUGGGCUGAAGCCUGAUCCAGCAGUGCCGCGUGAGUGCUGAAGGCCUUAAGGUUGUAAUGCUCUUUUACCCGGGCUGAUAGUGACGGUACCGGGAGAAUAAGCUCCGGCUAACUCCGUG